rnacentral:lncRNA from 1 species
UUCAUAAGCAUAAAUAUUACUUUCUCUGCACAUACCUCACUUUUAUUGUAAUUGUGAGUGCAUUUUGGGUAUUAUUGGAUUUUCAGUGUGGUAUUUUUGGAUUUCUGUUGGCGUUCAAGUACUGUUGCAUUGGUUUCUUGGUUUUCUAUCUGGUUUAAGUCUGACACUGGGUCAUUCUACUGAUCAUUACUAGAUUCUGCUGGUUUUGCUGUGUUGCUGAACCUGUUGUUGCUGUGUGUGCUACUUUUGCUUCUACUGAUCUUCCUCUUCUUUGGUCUCCAAAUACCAGGUACACAAAUUAAUACCAUGGUCCUUGUAGGUUGAAAUUGAAGCAUGAAUGCAAAAAAUGGAGAUUUGAAGUUCUGAGUCCAUUUUUAUUGUGUGUUGAAUCUUAGUCGUGUAUGUAUUAGUUAAGUUUUAAUCAUUAGAAUCAUGUAGUUGCAAGAUGUGUAAUUGAACACUAUCCGAUAGUAGUUAGCUGUAAUAAGUAUUCCCUCAGUAUGAUUUUAGUUAAAAAGGGCUAGUGAUGUAGUAGUAAUAUUCUCUCAUUUCAGUUCAUUUGUUGAAAAACAUAUUCAAAAGCCUAACAUGCCUUAGGUAGUUUACUAUUAGACGACCUAAACCAUUUCAGUCAAGUUAUUUAGCUAAUUAGAUUAUUUCUUAUUUUGUAUCCCUGCCUCUUAAAUUCUGAUAAUACGUAGGAUAAAUUUAACUAGGUAGUAGUCACGUUCUGUUAGUUCAUUAUUUGUUUGUCCAAAAGCAUGUUAGAUACCCCAUAGUUACUUCAUUAAGCAAAUGACAAAUUUUGGAAACUUGUAAGCAUGUUGUUUAGUUAGAUAUUGUUGGUUAGUAAGCAUGCAAGCGGCUUAGGAUUAAUAUUGGAUUGCCAAGUCUUUCCAUUCAAAUAGUAUACCACAUUAGAAUUUGCAGAAAUAUGUUGACAAAAAGAAUACCAUUUCACCCUUUAGUGGCAAAUUAUGAACAUGGGUAGAAACCAUUAGAUAGGCCUAAGUUGAAGUAGGAUGGCCCAUGUCCAGUUAUACCCCUUAUGCAUUGGACCUAGGCCCAUAACUGUCAAACCGUGGCCCAUGUACGCCUCCCUUUCAGAACUAUCGUACUAUGUUCGAAACCUAACUCUAAUAACUCGUGAGCAGGUAAAUAAGUUAGGAACUCUUUUUCUCUCAUUUUAGAGACGAAAUUAAUAAAAAUGUAGUCACUUUACGAUAUCUUUAAAAUAAAAGAAGCGCACCUCGCCAAAUAAUUCACAAAUUGCGGGGCCCUCAAUAAAAGGACAUAAUAAGUGGAUAGACUUCAGAAUUAACCGUUUAGUGAAUUUCACGGCCUUUUCUUAAAUAACAAUAUGUUAGCACCUUUAGGACGCACCUUAAAUGAUCUUACUUU